GAUGAACGCUGGCGGCGUGCCUAAUACAUGCAAGUCGAGCGGACGGACGAGAAGCUUGCUUCUCGGAUGUUAGCGGCGGACGGGUGAGUAACACGUGGAUAACCUACCUAUAAGACUGGGAUAACUUCGGGAAACCGGAGCUAAUACCGGAUAAUAUUUUGAACCGCAUGGUUCAAAAGUGAAAGACGGUCUUGCUGUCACUUAUAGAUGGAUCCGCGCUGCAUUAGCUAGUUGGUAAGGUAACGGCUUACCAAGGCAACGAUGCAUAGCCGACCUGAGAGGGUGAUCGGCCACACUGGAACUGAGACACGGUCCAGACUCCUACGGGAGGCAGCAGUAGGGAAUCUUCCGCGAUGGGCGAAAGCCUGACGGAGCAACGCCGCGUGAGUGAUGAAGGUCUUCGGAUCGUAAAACUCUGUUAUUAGGGAAGAACAUUUGUGUAAGUAACUGUGCACAUCUUGACGGUACCUAAUCAGAAAGCCACGGCUAACUACGUG
rnacentral:rRNA from 1 species